rnacentral:lncRNA from 1 species
CUCCCCUUUCCGUGGAGAGACUAUCAACUCCAUCUGUCACAAAAAUUAAGGCUAAAUCUCCUCUCCAGAAGCAGAGGGAGCCGGGGCUCCGACGCGCUCAGCGUCGGGCUGUCUGCCUCUCCCUAGAGGCCAAGUGAAUUUGAAAUGGCAAAAGUCACAGCCGGAGGCCCAGCACUAGGAGAUUCCUCCGGCUGCGGGAAAUCUUCCUGUACCUGCUGAAGCUGCUGCGUUCCUCAGAGGCGCUUGGUCUGCCGUGGGAAGCUGCACCUCUGCAGUCCCCAAAACCAAAAUCAAACCUUAAAAGAGCCAGACUGAGAAGCCAGUCACCACGUAAGACAUCUGGACCACCUUCAGACUCGCAUGCUGUGAGGAAGCCCAUGCUUACUAUGUGUAGAGGAUACAUGGAGAAGGAAAGAGAUGCCUGGCCAGCUCCCUGCUGUUUCAGCCAUGUGAGUGAAGAAGGCACCAGACUUGUGAGUGGAGACACUAACUUGGAUGUCCAGCCCAGCUGAACCUUCAGGCAGAGGUGCUGAGCAGCUAAUUGGAGGGGAUAGUAUGAGCCUCCAAAGAUUAGGGAAGAAAAUUGCAGUUGAAGAAAACUUGCUUUGGUUCAAUGCAAAAAUAAUGGGAUGAAUGGCAUGCUGAAAUAUCAUAUGACUUACGAAAAUGAUGAAUGGUAAGACCAUUGUACAUCUUCCAUAAAAGCAGGCAUUUAAAGCAGACAUUGAGAACACUUGGUUCUAUGUUCAUCCCUUGCUGAUCUCUUUGCCCCAUGUAACGCUGUUUGUAUUCUGGUUUUGGUUACUCUGGAAUGGCCAGUGAUUCCCAAACUCAAUAAGAGGAGAAAUGAUGACAAGAAGCAAAGGCCGUCUACAGCCCUCACGUUAGGGAGAUCAUCCAGGAGGGCCCAACGUAAUCAGAAGCAACCUGAAAUGUGGAGGAAGAGGCAGAAGAACCAAAGUCCGAAGGAACAUGGUGAUGGAAGCAAGAUAGGAUGGAUGUCGUGUGAGGACUCAGCCUGCCACUGCUGGCCUUGAAGAUCGAGAAAGGGGAAGGAAUGCAGGAGUGUCAAGAAGCUGGAAAAGGUUUAUUGAAUCUACAUAUGUGGAACCCAUGAAUGGGAGUCGGAGAAGGGGGCAACUGUAUACGCAAAAAGCUAUCAUAAUUGCCAAAAUAGUGAUAACAAUGUUGAAACACUACUGGGAUUACUACUGUUAAUGACUACCAGUGAUCAAGCACCUCCCCUGCCCCAGUGUUUGCCUGCCUUGUUUGAAGACACGAAAAAAUGUACACAAAAUGAUUUAGAACUGUUGAACUUUUCAGAAAAUAAUUUAAAAUCAUCUACCUCAUAACUAAAGGACACUGAAUUGGAGCCAGCUGAUGUAAGGAGCUUACCUUGGUUGCCACCUUCUGGUCUCUGUUUGAGGAACAACUGCAUGUGAUUAAGGAUGAAGAAACUGAGACCCCAAGAAUUUAAGUAAUUUGUUCAAGGCAACACACUGCUAUGUGGUAGAACUACAAAUUGAGCCCAAAUAAUCCAGCUUCAGAUACUAUGCAAAGGUAUCCUAGGUGUGGGGGUGAUAACCUGGUGACAAUCCCUUCUCAGAAGGAAAACAGGUCCCAUCUACAGAGGUGAAGCAGAGUGUGGAACUGAAAAACUCAAUGGAAGAAUGGCUAUUAAGAUUUAGGACGGCUGGGAAAUAAUAAAGUAAUAAUAAUAAUACUAGGUAUUGACGUGUGCUACAUGCCAGGCCUUGGGUGACAUUUGGAUUGAUUCCCAUUUUCUUUACUUUUCAGCAGUGGGGUCUUUCACCUUUCAAGCUCUGCCUGAGAAGUCAACAUGGUGGCAUUUGGCUAGGUUCUUUUAGGCAACCAAUUGUUUUAACAUGAUUUGUUGAAAAGCCUAUUCUCUCUUUCAUUGAACUAUAAUGCUAGCUCUGUCAUAAAUCAAAUUUUCAUUUGAUUUAUGAUAUGAAAAUUAUAUGCAUUUGAUUGAUAUGCAUUUUUUCUCCAAUGAUACUCAACUGUCUUAAUUAUAUAAUUUUGUAGUAAUUCUUGGUAUCUAAUUAGGCAAAUACCCACUCCCAACCCUGUUUCUUUUGUUUUUAAAUCCAGGGGUGUUUUGGAUAUUCUCGUUCAUUUGUGCUUCCACCUACAUUUUUCAGUUAACUUGUCAGGUACGAAAAAAUAAAAGGCAAAAUUUUUUAUCCUUAAAUCAAUUUGGGCAAGUUUGCAGUUUUUUCUUGUAUUGUAACUUCCAAUCUAUGAAUAUGAUCUAUUUUUUCACCAAUUUAUGGCUUCUUCCAAUAACAUUUUAUAAUUGUCUUUUUAGAGGCCUUAUCUUUUGUUUAGAUUCAUAUCUAGGUAUUUAAUAUUUUUGAUGCUGUUAUAAAUGGUAUUUUUAAAAAUAUAUACAUUUUUAACUAUUUCACAUAGAAAACUUUAAUGGAUUUUUAAAAUGUAGAUUUGUAUUCAGUAAACCUGUUAAAAUCUCUUAGAAUGUCUAAGAGUUUAUUUAUUCAAUUUGAUUUUCUUUUUUUUUUUUUCUCCUGGAGACGGAGUUUCGCUCUUGUUGCCCAGGCUGGAGUGCAGUGGCAUGAUCUCAGCUCACUGCAACCUCCGGCUCCCGGGUUCAAGCAAUUCUCCUGUCUCAGCCUCCUGAGUAGCUGGGAUUACAGGCUCCCACCACCAUGCCCAGCUAAUUUUUGGUAUUUUUAGUAGAGACAGAGUUUCACCAUGUUGGCCAGGCUGGUCUCAAACUCCUGACCUCAGGUGAUCCGACUGCUUUGGCUUCCCAAACUGCUGGCAUUACAGGCGUGAGCCACUGCGCCCUGGCCUAUUCUACUGGAUUUUCUAUGCAAUUGUGUUAUAACUCAUCAUAAAGAUAAUUUUAUUUCUUUUCCACAAUCUUUACAGGUUUAAUUUUUUUCUAUGCCUUGCUGCACUCUCUAUGAUUUCCAGUAUUGGCACUACUCUGGCCUUUGGUCUUUGCUCUUGCAUCAGCCUUUCAUAAUUGGGUAUGUUUGUUGUAAGUUUUCUGUAGAGAGUCUUUAUGAGGUUAAGAGAUUUGUUUCAUUUCUAGUUUAUUAAGAGAUUUUAUUAUAGAUCAAUGUUAAAUUUUAUCAAAAUUUCUCCAUUGCAUUUCUAUUGAGAUGAUCACAUGAUUAUUAAAAAUUAGUAUAAAGAUUUAUUAUUUUGAUAUUUUAAAAUCAGGUUUAUUGAGGCAUAAUUUAUAUAUAAUAAAAUUUACCCUAUUAGAGUAUCCAGUCCAGUAAGUUUUGGUAAAUGUAUGCGAAUAACACAAUAAACAGGUUUAGAACUUUUCCAUCACCACAAAAAGUUUAUCAGGCCCCUUUGCAGUUAAUACUCACCUUCUCUCCAGCCCCAGUAAACCAUGGAUCUGCUUUUUGUUACUGUAGUUUUUCCUUUACUUUGAUUUUUUUGAGUGUUAAGCCAGCCUUACAUUUCUGAGUUAACUUGGUCAUGAUAUCUUCUACAAACAUUAAUGAAUUUAGUAUGAUUGGCUGAUGCCUUUGCUUUCCUAUACUGUCCUUGCCUGGUUGGUACAAGGAUUAUAUAAUACUUAUAAAGUGAGUUGAAGACAGUUUCCUCUUUUCACCAGCUGGAAUAAUUUAUGUAUUAUUGAAAUUAAUUGCUCCUUAAAUACUUGGCAGAAUUCACUACAAAGGCACUUAAUUCUAGACCUUUUGGAGGAAGAUAAAAUACUGAUUUUUUAAAUCAUUAUUUUAUUUUUGUAAUACAGCUUAUUUUUCCAGAAACUUCUACUUUUCGUUUACAUCUUCAAGUCAGAUUAAAGUUGUAUUAAUAACCCCUUAUUAUUUAAAUCUCAGCAGAAUGUGAAGUUAUGUUCCCCCUUUGUAUCCAUUUUUUUCUCUAGAUAUUUUUCUGUUACCUGUUUUAAAUUUAAUUCCAUUGUGGUCAGAGAUAAUACUUUGUAUGACUUGCAUUCUUUUAUGUAUAUUGAGACUUGUUAUAAGGCACAGAGUAUGGUUUAUCUUGGUAAUCAUUCGUGGCACACUUAAAAAUCAUGUGUUUUCUGCUAUUGUUGAGUGGGAUGUUCUGUAACUGUGAAUUAGGUCAAGUUAGUUGACAGUGUUGUUCAAGUCUUUUAUAUUAUUACUGACUUUCUUUCUACUCACUCUAUCAAUUAGUGAAAGGUGUCAAUAUUUCCAGUUAUAAUCAUGGAUUUGUCUAUUAUUACUUUCAGUUAGAAAUUUCUAGCUGAAAUUAUCUAUUUCUACUUUCAGUUAGUGUUAGCUUGCUAUAUCUUUUUUCCAUCCUUCUUCUUUUAACCCAAUGUAUCUUUAUAUUGACAUUACAUAUAUGAUUUAUAUUAUAUUAUGUUACUAUAUCUUGUAUGCAGCAUAUAUUUGGAUCUUUUUUAUCCAAUCUGAUGAUCUUUGCUUUUUAAUUAAUGUAUUUAGAUCAUUUACAUUUACUGUGAUUAUUAAUAUGUAUUAAGUUCAAAUCUACCACUUUGGUAUUGAAUAUCUAAUUGUCCCAUUUGUUCUUUGUUUCAAAAAAACUCUUUUUUUGCCUUUUUUUAUAUCAAGUAUUUUAAAAUUCUAUUUCAUCUUCUUUGUUUGCUUAUUAGCUAUAACUUUAUUUUGCUAAUUUAGUGGUUGCUUUAGGGUUUAUAGUAAACAUCUUCAACUUAUCACAUUCUAUGUUCUAGUCAUAUUAUAUUAUUUAACACAUAGUAUAAAAACUUUAUUGUAGUAUACUUUCAUUUUCCUCCAGUAAUUGUGCGAUUCUUGUCAUCUAUUUUGCUUCUACAUGUUAUAAACUCUACAUGAUUUUGUAAUAUUUUUGUUUAAACAAUAUUUAUUUAGACUUAAUAAUAAAUAAUAAAAAUAUAUGCUAACCACGUAGUUAUAAUUUCUAGUGUUGUUCAUUUCUUUGUGUAGAUCCAUAUUUCCACCUGCUAUCGUUUUCCUUCUGCCCGAAGGUGCUGGUGAUGAAUUUUUUCAGCUUUGGUAUACUUAAAAAACUUUUUUUAUUUUUGAAAAUAUUUUUUGUUAGGUAUGAAAUUCUAUGUUGACUUUUUUUUCUUUCAGUAUUUUAAGAAUGCUACUCCAUUGUCUUCUUGCUGGCAUUAUUUCCAGAGGAAGAAAAAUCUUUAAGAUUUUCUCUUUUUACAGACUUUGAGUAAUUUUACUACAUUAUAAUUUGGUGUGGUUUUCUUCAUGUUCCUUCGGCUUGAAGUUCAUUGAGAUUCUUCAAUCUGUGAAUUUAUAGCUUUUUAUCUACUUGAAAAAGGUUUAGCCAUUAUUUCUUUAAAAAGUCAUUGUCUCAUCUUUCCCCUCUUUGGAAAUUUCAAUUACGGGUAUAUUAGGUCAUUUGAUGUUGUUCCACACAUCAAUGAUGCUCUGUUGUUUUUGUUAUUUUCUCUUGUUUUGAGUCAUUUUUUCUUCUGCGUUUUACUUUAGAUAGUUUAUCUUGCGAUGUCUUUAACUCACCAGUCUUUCCUUUUGCAAUGUUUAAUAUUUUGAUUGUUUGAUUUUUUUCCUUCUCACUAUGGUUCAUAUUUUCCUGCUUCUUUAAAUGCCUGAUAAUUUUUUAUUGGAUGCUAGACAUUGUGGAUUUUACCUUGUUGAGCUCUGGAUACUUUUUGCUUUCUUUUGAAUAUCUUGAGCUUUUUUUCUGGAAUACAAUUGUGUUAUUUGCAGACAGUUUGAUCCUUUUAGGUCUGGAUUUUAAGAUUUGUUAAAAAGGACCAGAACAGUGUUCAGUCUAGUGCUAAUUAUUCAAACUACUGAGCUAAAUCCCUUCUAAAUACUCUACCCAAUGCUAGGUGAAUUACAUUUUUUUGUAGUUUAAUGGUGAGUACAGGCACCAUUACCUGCCUUAUGUGAGUUCCAGACACUGCUCCUUCCAAGUCUUUAGGGAAGUUCUUUCCCCAACUUUGGGCAGUUUCUUCACAAACAUGCUCUGAUUACUGCUCUGUUGAAUAAAUAAAGGAAAAUCUCUACAGAUCUCUGUGUGCAGAUGCCCUCUCUAGUAUGCUUCCCAGUAAACUCCAGCCACUUUCAUCUAUUCAGAUUUUUAGCUUUGACUCCUCAACUUGGUGACUCUACUGUGAUCUCCAACCCCAGGUCAUGGCCUGGAAUCUCUUGUAAGGCAGAACUGUGAAACAACCCUGCCUUACCUGAUUUAUUUUCUUUUCUCUCAUAGAUCACUGUGUUUCAUUGCUGAUGUCCAGUGUAUUGAAAACCAUUAUUUCACAUAUUUUUUUCUGUUUUGUUUGCUUCAGGUUGAUCCUGAGAUCUUGUUCCCGAUCUUCCAUUUUUGCAAAGACUGAAGGUUCAAUCUAUUUUUUAGACCAUUAUUUUUGUUCUGUCAUACCUCAGGGUCGGAACUGCAACUUGCUCCGGAGGGCACGGGCUCCGUAGUCACCAACUGCAAGGCCCCCUCCCCCUGCGGGCGCUCCCCUGGCACAAUUCGCGUUCGAGAGUGACCUGCACUCGCUGCUUCAACUGGAUGCACCCAUCCCCAAUGCACCCCCUGCUCGCUGGCAGCGCAAAGCCAAGAAAGCCACAGGCCCGGCCCCCUCACCCAUGCGGGCCGCCAACCGAUCCCACAGCGCCAGCAGGACUCCGGGCCGAACUCCUGGCAAAUCCAGUUCCAAGGUUCAGACCACUCCUAGCAAACCUGGCGGUGACCGCUAUAUCCCCCAUCGCAGUGCUGCCCAGAUGGAGGUUGCCAGCUUCCUCCUGAGCAAGGAGAACCAGCCUGAAAACAGCCAGACGCCCACCAAGAAGGAACAUCAGAAAGCCUGGACUUUGAACCUGAACGGUUUUGAUGUAGAGGAAGCCAAGAUCCUUCGGCUCAGUGGAAAACCACAAAAUGCGCCAGAGGGUUACCAGAACAGACUGAAAGUACUCUACAGCCAAAAGGCCACUCCUGGCUCCAGCCGGAAGACCUACCAUUACAUUCCUUCCCUGCCAGACCAUAACCUGGAUGCCCCUGAAAUCCGAAAUGACUACUACCUGAAUCUUGUGGACUGGAGCUCUGGGAAUGUAUUGGCCGUGGCGCUGGACAACAGUGUGUACCUGUGGAGCGCAAGCUCUGGUGACAUCCUGCAGCUUUUGCAAAUGGAGCAGACUGGGAAAUAUGUAUCCUCUGCGGCCUGGAUCAAAGAGGGCAACUACUUGGCUGUGGGCAUCAGCAGUGCUGAGGUGCAGCUUUGGGAUGUGCAGCAGCAGAAACGGCUUCGAAAUAUGACCAUUCACUCUGCCCGAGUGGGCUCCCUAAGCUGGAACAGCUAUAUCCUAUCCAGUGGUUCACAUUCUGGCCACAUCCACCACCAUGAUGUUCGGGUAGCAGAACACCACGUGGCCACACUGAGUGGCCACAGCCAGGAAGUGUGUGGGCUGCGCUGGGUCCCAGAUGGACGACAUUUGGCCAGUGGUGGCAAUGAUAACUUGGUCAAAGUGUGGCCUAGUGCUCUUGGAGAGGGUGGCUGGGUUCCUCUGCAGACAUUCACCCUUCAAGGGGCUGUCAAGGCCGUAGCAUGGUGUCCCUGGAAGUCCAAUGUCCCGGCAACAGGAGGGGGCACCAGUGAUCGACACAUUUGCAUCUGGAACGUGUGCUCUGGGGCCUGUCUGAGUGCCGUGGAUGCCCUUUCCCAGGUGUGCUCCACCCUCUGGUCUCCCCACUACAAGGAGCUCAUCUCAGGCCAUGGCUUUGCACAGAACCAGCUGGUUAUUUGGAAGUACCCAACCAUGGCCAAGGUGGCUGAACUCAAAGGUCACACAUCCCGGGUCCUGACUCUGACCAUGAGCCCAGAUGGGGCCACAGUGGCAUCUGCAGCAGCAGAUGAGACCCCGAGGCUAUGGCACUGUUUUGAGUUGGACCCUGUGUGGCGGCGGGAGCGGGAGAAGGCCAGUGCAGCCAAAAGCAGCUUCAUCCACCAAGGCAUCCGCUGAAGACCAACCCCUCGCCUCAGUUGUUUUUUAUUUUUCUAAUAAAGUCAUGUCUCCCUUCAAAAAAAAAAAAAACAAAACUGCUGUGUAAUUACAGAAUUGUAUUCAAUCCUGUUUUAAUAAAUAAGAGACAAUUUACAAUAACUCACUUGCAGCAACGUGCUUUGAAUCAUUUCAGAGAAGAAGGACAGAAGAGAUUGGUUGACACCACAGUGUGAUUAAAAAAAUAGGAGUCAGUGGUAUUUAUGAAAUGAAUAAAUAAAGCACAUGCCCACCCCCAUUAACCCACUGCAUGGUCAAGUUCUUAGGGAGGUGAUGAGGCAACCUCUCCAAUAUUCCCAUUAUAGAGCUCCACUAACAUUCUGCUUGGUGAUGACAAAGUUGCAUUUAGAUUGGUUGAUAGUUGGUAUUGAGCCCAAAACCAGGGUUGAAGUUGUUCCAGGGAGAGGCUGGAUUGAGGCACAAUGUACAGCUAACGUUAACCUCCUCCUGACUUGACCACCCCAGCAGAAGGGCCUUGACACAAACCCGGUGUAUCUGCUGAGUGGGCAAAUACAAGGAGCGAUCCAGGCUGUAGUUGCAUGGCCUGAGCAGCAAUGCAAGGAGGACCUUCCUUUUGCCUUUAAGCCUCCUCUUCCAGAGAAACUUCUACCAGUGACCUGGCAGUGAGACUUGUGUUUCAUGUAGUGAUGAAUGUUUUAGACCUCCAGACUCUUGUUCUACUGAAGAACCUCCCUCCAGGGUCCUGCGUUGAACUGGCCUUGCUGCAGACUUCCUGAGUUUGUCAGCAGUAAAGGUAACAGUACCCAGAAUGGAGCAUUCUAGCCAAUGGUUAAAAGUCCUGGUAUUUUCUCCACAAAGUGAUGAUAAGAAAGGGGGUUGACCCCUCAGUCAUAUCAAAAAUGUUUAGAGGUCACUGGGUAGACAUGAAAGACAACCUGUUGAAAAUUUAGAUGGAGGUCUGGAGUCAUCAUACAAGCAGAGGAAAAAGACUGAAAAGAAAUAAUGUCAGAAUGUUAAUGAUAUGGUGAUGUUAGAGGUGAUUUUAGUUUUUUUCUUUGUGCUUUUCAGUGUGAAUUCUCUAAAAUGAGCAUUUUUUAAACAAGAAAAAAAUGUUAAAAUAGGCACCAAAAACCUGAAUACAAUAAAAUACUUUUAAAUAAGUUCACACUCAUAUCUAGAAACUCUAAGCAAAUCUAGGUUGCCAACAGUCACAAAAGGUAAUUCUAUUUAGGUUAAAAAUGUGAGCUACGACUAUCUCCCUU